rnacentral:pre_miRNA from 1 species
AGCUUCCUGGAUCAAUGCAGAGAUUUCUUCAGACACCAACCCAUUACGACUGAUCAGACUUCCAAGAUAACUGAAGUU